GCGGUAAUACGUAGGGUGCGAGCGUUGUCCGGAAUUAUUGGGCGUAAAGAGCUUGUAGGCGGUUUGUCGCGUCUGCUGUGAAAAUCCGGGGCUCAACCCCGGACUUGCAGUGGGUACGGGCAGACUAGAGUGUGGUAGGGGAGACUGGAAUUCCUGGUGUAGCGGUGAAAUGCGCAGAUAUCAGGAGGAACACCGAUGGCGAAGGCAGGUCUCUGGGCCACUACUGACGCUGAGAAGCGAAAGCAUGGGGAGCGAACAGGAUUAGAUACCCUGGUAGUCCAUGCCGUAAACGUUGGGAACUAGGUGUGGGUCUCAUUCCACGAGAUCCGUGCCGCAGCUAACGCAUUAAGUUCCCCGCCUGGGGAGUACGGCCGCAAGGCUAAAACUCAAAGGAAUUGACGGGGGCCCGCACAAGCGGCGGAGCAUGCGGAUUAAUUCGAUGCAACGCGAAGAACCUUACCAAGGCUUGACAUAUACCGGAAACUUCCAGAGAUGGUUGCCCCUUUUAGGUCGGUAUACAGGUGGUGCAUGGUUGUCGUCAGCUCGUGUCGUGAGAUGUUGGGUUAAGUCCCGCAACGAGCGCAACCCUCGUUCUAUGUUGCCAGCACGUAAUGGUGGGGACUCAUGGAAGACUGCCGGGGUCAACUCGGAGGAAGGUGGGGAUGACGUCAAAUCAUCAUGCCCCUUAUGUCUUGGGCUUCACGCAUGCUACAAUGGCCGGUACAAAGGGCUGCGAUACCGCAAGGUGGAGCGAAUCCCAAAAAACCGGUCUCAGUUCGGAUUGGGGUCUGCAACUCGACCCCAUGAAGUCGGAGUCGCUAGUAAUCGCAGAUCAGCAACGCUGCGGUGAAUACGUUCCCGGGCCUUGUACACACCGCCCGUCAAGUCACGAAAGUCGGUAACACCCGAA
rnacentral:rRNA from 1 species